rnacentral:lncRNA from 1 species
CAUAUCCACUCGGAACAUCUCUUGACAGUAGAGCGUUCCAGAAUUGGUCACGUUCAGUGAAAUGUACUCCUACACUUCACCUGUGUGGCAUACCAGUGUCUCCACACUCCUUGGUUAAGAGGACAACCAACGUAUAUGUCACACAACGACCUAAUCUUGAUAAUGUUGUCGUCCUUGUAACAACAUAUCAUUUGGUUGCGAACUAGUUUAAGGACUCGAAGAUAAAUCCUCCUUUAUCAUUAAUAAGUCCUAAGGACUUCAUCAUAUAAGAGUUCAUUUGAAGAUGUAAAAUGAUGAAUAAUGCCA